UACGUAGGUGGCAAGCGUUGUCCGGAAUUAUUGGGCGUAAAGCGCGCGCAGGCGGUCCUUUAAGUCUGAUGUGAAAGCCCACGGCUCAACCGUGGAGGGUCAUUGGAAACUGGGGGACUUGAGUACAGAAGAGAAGAGUGGAAUUCCACGUGUAGCGGUGAAAUGCGUAGAGAUGUGGAGGAACACCAGUGGCGAAGGCGGUGGUCUGGGCCGGAACUGACGCUGAGGAGCGAAAGCGUGGGUAGCAAACAGG
rnacentral:rRNA from 1 species